rnacentral:rRNA from 1 species
AGAUUGAACGCUGGCGGCAUGCCUUACACAUGCAAGUCGAACGGCAGCACGGGAGCAAUCCUGGUGGCGAGUGGCGAACGGGUGAGUAAUAUAUCGGAACGUGCCCAGUCGUGGGGGAUAACGUAGAGAAAUUUACGCUAAUACCGCAUACGAUCCAAGGAUGAAAGCGGGGGACCGUAAGGCCUCGCGCGACUGGAGCGGCUGAUAUCAGAUUAGCUUGUU